AAUGCGCCUCUGCCACUCCUUGGCGCGGUUACCCGGGCCUGAGUCCGCGUGGUGGAGCAGCCCAUCCGCGUGGGGCGCUACCGGGCUGGUCGCCGCGGCCUCAAGUGGACAGCGGGAGGGACGCAUCCGGCCUGAGUACGGCUGGAGCUAGGGCCGACGACCCAGGAGCUGGACAGCGCCCUAGCCAGGGAAGGUGAUCUGGGUAGGAGGCUAGUUGUUGCUGGGAUUGUCAGGCAGGCGUGGCUAGUGACACCACUUAGCUGUUCAAAAAAAGAAAAGAAAAAAGAAAAAUCACAAAAACAAACUGGAGGGUGCUGAAGGCCAUCUUGUUACCUACGUGUUUUGAAAAUCAGAUCUUUGAGAAAGGUGGGCAGAUCCAGUGGCGGAUGACAAGGGUCUGGGAGUCUGUGUACAGAACAAAUUCGAUCCCUUAGCAGGCAUGGAUGGAGAAAAAGAUCUAACAGGUGGAGUUCCAAACCUGCUACGGUACUUUCUAAAUAGACUGAGGACCGGGGGAAGGCCAGCAAACAUACACCUCCCCAACCCCAACCCCCAUCCCGUACUGCCUCUCCUACUCCGCUCCACUUUUCUUAGGCAGCAGGUAACUCCCAAAGGGCUCCUCCCAGUUCUUCCAUCCUAGCGUGGCAACUCCAUGGCAGCCUGACACCUCCCAUUUCUUCUCAGCCUGCCCAAAUUCUCAUUUUUUUUUUCUUGCCCAGUGCGACCAGGGCCACCGGCCACAUCGCUCCAUCACUGUGAGGAAUUGUAUCAGGGCUUGUUUAAAACCCCUUAGGGCCUCCCAUUGCGUUAGAGGAAGCCCAGCUUCUUGUCACUGUCACACGGACUUGGACCUUUGUGCCUGCUGUAGUACUGCUUCUCCCGUAGUACGGAACUAUAAUACUCUUCAUGCCUGGGGUAUUCUUCUACUCCGGGGAUAGUCUCUGCCAGCCAAGGCUCUGCUCCUGGGUAUUUGGAGAGCUGCUGGGUAGAAAUGGACAGGGGUUUCUGAACACGCCUAUCCUAGGAGAGCCCUUCUGACUUUAUGAUUGCCCAGAGGCACUUGUGCCACCUGCUUCUGAGAAAGCACCUGAUUCUGUUGGGGCACACUCCACCUGCACUACUCCAUUCUUCUCAGCAUUGCUCAGAUCCCAAAGCCCUGAGUCCUCAUCCUGCUGCCAGCUAGCCAGUGAGAGAGUGUCAUGUUCACCCUUGCCCUGAUUCUCUCACCCUCAGGCCACAGGGUGGACUGGGUACAUCUAGCCUGCCUCACUCAGAUGUCCACCCUCUGGCAAAGCUUUCCUCUUCCUGGGAGGACAAGACCAGAGGAACCUCCAGUUCCUUCUUUAUCAAAAAGCACUAAGUUUGCAUCCAAGAAAUGGGCCUGGCAAUACAGCUCUUCCAUCAGUUUAAUGAAAUCACAUCUGUCUUCUGAGGCUAGAGGACACCCUGUACUCAACCAGAGAGGCCUAUGGAGAGGCAGACCGGUCGUUCCCAAGUCACUAUCAAGUGCACCAGCUCUACUAGUAAACAAUUUGAGACACUCUGCCUUUCUCAAAUGUUGUUCAGGUAUUUCAUAACUUACAGAAUAAUAGUGUGGAAACGGUGGAGCACUAGGCAUAUCCACCCUAAGUUGUAGUCUAGGCUCUGAGGAGGUCUCCAGGGCAGUGCUCCCUUCUUCUGGUCACCAAGACAUAGACACCCACAUAUCCGCUGAGCACCUGGGAAGCAUCUGGAAGAUUUAGGGAUGUUGUCAGUGAGGGCUGGUGAUCGAAAACAUGUGGAGCCCUGGAGGAGCAGGGAGCAGCUCUGCAGAGACUUGGGAAAAGAACACGCCAGGAAAAUGAGCAGAAAACUCAAAACCCAGAUAUAAAACAGGAAACAGAAGGCUGUGACUGGAGGCCACGAGGAGCUGGGUUUGCAAGCUCAGGGACUUUUGGGAAGGAAUAUCAUGGUUGUUGGGACAAAAAUGGAAGAGACCUCACUAGGCUUGUCAGCUUGAUGUGGAUGGGUGACCCAAAAGAUGUCUAGCAACAUCCAGAGGUUAGUAUCAGGGACAGUAGGCAGAGCCCAAAGUCUAGCCACUGAACAGAAAAGGUGAUGGGGACAGGGUUUGUGUUCCUCUAUGCUUUCCAUUCAUAAUCAGACUGAAACACACCAAGGAGCAGGUAAACAAGCAAGAUUGUGGAGAAAGAAAUCUAGACCCAUGCCUUGGAUUUUGGAUGUCAGGGCUUGCAAGAGGCCAUGUGUGCAGCAAACAUCACACACGAUCAAACCCGCAAUAGAACAGUGACUGGGACAAUCAGAGUGAGCCACAGAUCUGCACCUGCUCAGUUUCACGCUCCCUCUGCAGGCCCGGUCAGUGCUGUGCGGUGGCUCUGCUUUGUAUCCGUUACUUUCCUUGUCACCAUGACAGAAAACCUGAAAGAAGCAGCUUAAACGUUCCCGUUCUUGAGGCAGCAACCAGGAUCCUCCCAAGAUCCAGAGCUACCAGCAUCCGCCUGGGAGAUAAACACUGCCAGGAGAAUGGUUUGAUGUGACCAGAAGCUACAAGACCAGACCUGAGCAAAGAUGGUACUGCGCACAGCUGUCCUGAGCAUGCUGGCCCAUAGCUCCACUGGAGGGCUCUAGUGGGAAUAUAGUGGAAAUCUAUGCCACACCAUGAGAUGGCAAAAUUUGAGCCUCGUGGCAAAUCUGCAACACAGGAGCCACAAGCACCCAUGGAUCCUGGAGCUAAGACCUCACUUUCCCACCCAGAUUCUCCAUACUUUGUGAAAAGCCAUGCACCAUUAGUGCCACAGCUAAUGUAUCUCCUGGCCUCAAGGUUUCCCAGAUCCACAGCUGUGAUGAUGUUUUGUUUGUACUGUAAAAAAUAAAGCUUGCCUGAAGAUCAGA